GCCAGAGCCACAGCAACGCGGGAUCUGAGCCGCAUCUGCAACCUACACCACAGCUCACGGCAAUGCCAGGUCUUGCUAGCAGCUCACUGUAACUCUGAAUGGAGGUGGUCACUGGUGUUGGGGCCCCUCCUAGUUCCCCAGUAAGCUGUGGGUUCUGGAGCUCCAGGCGAGGGGCUACCAAAGUCUUUGUCACAAACCAGAACUCUUCCCCAAAGCCUCCUGUGCAGAUGAGAUAGACUCUCGUGCCAGGGUUCUCCCCAGACACACCACAUCCCAGGCUUGCUGAAGAUGGGCUGGCUGCACACCACCAACCACCAGGCCAUCUGAAAUGGCUCUUCAGGGUCAGUGUUUGUAUUGGGGAGGGGCUGGAGGACCCCCACCCACCCAAAGCAAUGGACUUGGUUGUCUCACCUGCCAGCGCCUUCUUGGUGGGCAUUCAGCCAAGCAGUGGAUGUGGAAGCAGGUGGGUGUUUAGAACUCAGUGGCAGCUCUUUCAAGCUCGCCAUCAGGGGCCCCUGCUCCCACAGGCCAGUUCCAAGCAGAGAGAAGGCCUCCAGUUGAGUGUCAGAAAAAAGUGCCUCAUCUAGAUCCCUUCUAAGGAAUUGACAGGGUUGAUGGUAGCCGCUGAUUUCCCGAGGUGACAGAAUUGGUGGGGGUGGCAAAGGGGGUGUCUGUAAUCCCUUGCUGACAGAUUAGAUGCUAGGGCAGAUCUCUCAGGAGCCAUGGAUGACCUUGAGAAAAUGCAGAUGUCAAAGGGAAAAGGGAAAGAGAAACAAUCUCCCUCCUCACACUGCUGCCAAUGAGUCUUCCCAGCGCUGGGCUGGUUGAUGGAAACUUCGCUGCCGUUGCCUCCUGAUGCAGGAGGCAGUAGCGUUUGACGGCGUGAUAAGAAAUUGCCAGGCACUUUCUAAUUACAAUUAUCAUCAUCACGGAUGUCUCUCUUAAUUACUUUCUUAUAAUUAGCGGUUGCUUUUUCCUCAGCAUUUGUGUACUUGGCAGAUUUGCUGACAUUUGAGAGCCCCAAAAUAGGGACAUUUGGGGAGGAGGGCAGCAAGGUGGGUAAAACAAGAGAGGAACGGAUUAUUUUCAGGCAACCUGAUCAAUUGGGGGCUUUUGCAGGAAGAAAUUGGGCAAAGCAACAGGUUGACAUGAUGGAUCAUUCUCUGAGCCGAUGGGGAAAGAGAACCAGGGUGGGGCCGUGGGGACUGAGCUUUGUGGAGUGUCUCCGAGUGUUAAAACCUGAAGGAAAUAUUCUUGAAAAGCCACCAAGGUGGCCAUUUCUCAGGCUUGGGUUUCAUUUUUGGGAACAAGGCUGGGAUGAAGCACAUGCUAGUUGAAUCCUUAUCCGAGUGAAUUAAAUAGCUCAGGUCAGGAGUAUCUUGAUGUUUUCCCAAAGCCAGUGAUGCAUUCUGAGCAUCCCUGGGCCCCAGGGAGUCAUUACAAAGCAGAUUAUGCUCUUUGACCAGAUGGUUGGGUUUCAUCCUCUGUUCCCUUUCUUCCCCCCUCUCUUCUUACCCCCUGCAGCCCUGUGUACAGAGGAGUGUGUGCAUGGCCGCUGUGUUUCCCCAGACACCUGCCACUGUGAGCCUGGCUGGGGAGGACCCGACUGCUCUAGCGGUGAGUCUGGGGUCUCUGGAGGGGCUUGGAGGCCAUGGCUUGUGGGGGUCUAAAGGGGCAUUGCGUGUUGUGUGUAUGGGGAACUGGGUGAUCAUCUGUACGACUCUGACUUUUGCUGGAAUACCUCCGGAUACAGUCUUUGAGGGUCAAAGUGAAGUUGAGAUGCUACGGAAGGGUGAAGACCCAGGAGGUCACUAGGGUCCAGUCCUGGUCCUCAGCUUUGCUGGUCCAGAGGCUCAGUUUCGUGGGUGCUCACAGAGGCUCAGGGGAGUGACUCAUGAGAAUGAUGGGUCCUGGGAUGCCUCCAUGUCCCCAAAGGCAAAAGAAUGGGAUGCUUGUAGGGGUGGCUCACUGUGUUCCUACAUCCCUUUGGGGAGACUGUUCACAUUCCCUGCAGAAGGCUCUCUGGUGAGCACAAGUUAGGCGGAUGCUCUUGGUACUGACUGAGUGACCCACAGCAGCACAGGCAUCGUCUGUACCACAGGCCUGGCCAACAAGUGGGCAGGGUACACCAGGCAGCUGCCUGGGAUAUUUUCUGCCAAGAAUCCAACUGAAUGCAUAUCUUUCCCUUUUGGCUCAUUUCCUCUAAAUACUCACAUGACCCUCUUUCCGGUGGCACAUUUUACAAUCAAUGGUUGGUUAAUGACAUGGUCUAUUUGACUUCCAAAGAUUCCUCGAUUAGUGCUGAAGCCCAGGUUUCUUCCUGCUUUGAGCUGGGAUGGAGUGUCUUUUUGUGUGUGACUUGUGUAGAUGACAUAACUAAGCUGAUCCAGUAGGGGUCUGAUCCUCAUUACUGACCCAUCUUUGGGAGCUACCUCCUUGUCCCCUGUCCCAUAGGGACUGCAAUGGUCAUGACAACUUGGGGAAGGAGUGUUGGGUCCCCAUUGGCCCAAUGUGUUGUUGCUUUUUCCCUUUUCCAUUCUCUAGUGGGAUGGAAAAAUAUUGUUAAGCUCCUUUUCCCCAAAGGCCUUGACUGGAGCCUUCCUGUCUACCUAGUACAUGGGAAUAUACCAGCCAAAGGAAGCUACUGGAUGUAGUUCUGUGUGGGCCUGGAUGGUUACCUAGGCUUGGGGAGUCUGGCACCUGUUUGGGGCACUCUAAAGAUUCUCUCCAACGCAUUGGGCCCUCUAGUGACAAUGGUAGCCUCCACUAUCCAUCUGUUUCCCUGCUUUGAGGUAAGUCAUGCUGAGAAACAUGGCAGGGACUCCUUGAGACAAUGAAUUACACCUGAGGGACUCGUGAGUGAAUGGGAUACACUCACACAGUCUUUCUGUGAACUCCAGGAAACGUGCCGCUUGAAACGUUGCAGAGCUUUUUGCCCCUUGUCUGUGCUUGCUUUUGUGUAACUUCACCUACAAUGAAUCUUUGAUGAGGAACUGUCUAACUUGGAUUUGGUGAAUCCUGCUGGGACAAGUCUGCUUGCUGGUGCCAGAUUAUAAUGUCAAGGGCAGUCUUUUGGAGGUUGAAAUACAGCUUAAGUCCCAUGGGCCCUGAGUGCAUAUAAAUCACCAACCAGUGCAAGUGCAUUUGGUGCUCGCUGUAUCAGGACUGUGAUGGGCAGGGGGCAGGCCCUGGAUGGUCUUUCAGACAGAGUCUGUCCCUUCCAGGGUUUCCUUCCUAUCUAGUGAAGGAAAUGGAAGGGAGACAGCCCUGGAUCCCUGGGACUAGGCAACGUAGAGUAAACUGUGCCCCUGGAGUGUGUUUACCAAGCACGUAGCCUUAUUCCUUGACAGUAUAAAACCAGGCUGCCCAGUUCCACUCCCAAUUCAGUCAUGAGGCUUGGUGCUGAGCAACCCACAAUCUGUUUCCUCACUAAAUCCACCCUCAUGGGUUGAAGAGCCACCACCUCUGGAUCAGCUCAAAGGCAUGUGCUACUAAACCCACAGGAAGUGCUCAAAGAUGAGUUCUCUUUGGUGGGAUGCAGCAUUGACUGAAGGGAAUUCCUAGACUCUUAUUCUCAAACUCAUUCAGAGCACUGAAUAUUUAGAUGCCUCACCAAGAGCUUUCCAACCUCCACUUGAAUCCCUUCAUUAACAAGAAGCUCACAUCACUUCUCGGCCUUUUGGCUAAGAUCAAGAGUGGUAUCUGCUCUUAUCAGUUCAAUAUCAGAUAUGUCCUCUGAUAAGGACAAUAUAUUAAAUGGAUUUUUGGAGCAGAGUGUUGGCUGUUGCUCCAUCCACUCCAUGCAUCGAACUGGUGUUGCAGCAUCUCCAGGAAUGAUGCACAGAAAACGGGGAAAAGAAUCCAAGGAGCUCACUGUCUCCUGUGGAAGCACAUUCUGACUAUUGAAAAAUUUUCCCUUCCAUUAAGUGGAAGUCUGUCUCUAGCUUCUACUAGUUGGUUCUCACCCAUAAUACCAGCUAGGGAGGGGUGGUGGAUCUCUGCGAUCCUCUUGCCAUGCCUGGUCUUUCUCCCAAGGAGCUCGGUGGACAAGGCCACAGACUGGGUGUGAGAAGAUGGCCAUCUCAGAGCGGUUGAGAAUAGUCAUUGAGACCGCAUAGAAGAAACCAGAGUUCCCUUCCAUGGGUCAGCCCUUCAGGUAUUAGAAAACAGUGAUCACCCCCCCCCCUCAUUUUUAUCCUCCAAGUUCCUUCAUUUCUCACAUGGUAGAGAAACAUGAGCUGAGCUGCCUUCCCCAUGUAGUUUCUCUCCAUAGGCUCUGGCCUUUAUUCCUCCUACCUGUCAUUCCUAGAGCUGACUGCACAUCCAGGCUUGUAUAGAAAAAUAGUAAUAGAGAUAGGUACGAUUUACUGAGUUUUACUCUGCACUAGGUAGGCACUUUAUCUUCUCAUUUAAUCAUCACAACAACCCUAUGAUGUGGGAAUUCUUAUUAACCCUGUUUUACAGAUGAGAAAGUUGAAGCACAGAGAGGUUAAAGAGCUCCCAGCAGACAUACACCUAGUAAAUAAUGAAACUAGGACUAUCAAUCAAACAAAAACCUAAGUCCUAAGCCUGAACACUUAAUUAUGCUCUCCUUCCUUCUGGAUGCUCAACCUCUGUUAAGGUAACCUGAGGUCGAAAUAGGUCUUUGAUGAGACGACCUGGUUGCUCACAGGGGAAGGAUAUUGUCGUGGAGACAGAUGGAUCAGCUAUGGGAUCCAAAUUGUGACCAGGUUUACCCCAAGCAAAUGGAGCCCAUUUGCAGUUGUGCCAUUGGACACCUGUCUACCUUAGGGUCUUUCUGGGGCCUGUGUCCGUGGAGAUGGGUAUCCUAGUCAGGACAGUGUGUAUCUCUGGAGAUUUCUGAAUAGGAUUUCCCAUUUACAUGUUUAUGCAUGUGACACCUUUGCAGAGAAGCUUUGAUUUUCCUUUAAUCAAAAGCAUCAUUCUUGUUGGUGUUUUUUUCUGACUGUAAAAUCAUACCUGUUCAUGUUAAAAAGGAAAUUCAGGAGUUCCUGUGGUGGCUCAGCAGUAACAAACCUGAUUAGGAUCCAUGAGGAUGCAGGUUCGAUCCCUGGCCUCACUUGGUGGGUCAAGGAUCCAGCAUUACCAUGAGCUGUGGUGUAGGUCACAGACCCUGCUUGGAUCUGGUGUUGCUGUGGUAUAGGCCAGGAGCUGCAGCUCCUAUUUGACCCCUAGCCUGGGAACUUCCAUAUGCUGAGGGGGUGGACCUAAGAAGAUCAAAAAAAAAAAAAGGGGGGGGGGGAUUCAAACUGUACCAAAAGUUGAGACAAAAAGGUUAAACCUACACACCCAG
rnacentral:lncRNA from 1 species